UAAUCAGCCUAUACGUGUCAUGUCUGCUAAUCAACACGUCCAAACCACACUAACAUGCACCAUGACGCAAAUGAAACAUCAGAUCCACAAACUGACUUCUAGAACUAAGCCCAACGACUAGUCGUCUCAUCAGAGAAUCACAACAACACUUCCGCUAUCCCAAGACAUAAUACUUUAGGUGUACGGACAGCCAAACGCCAAGUUCUCGACAAACUG
rnacentral:lncRNA from 1 species